rnacentral:misc_RNA from 1 species
CUAACAUGAAUCCCUUUACAUUUACUUGUGUUUGCUAGCAUGUCAAUAACCAAAUCCAGAGGCCAAUUUGGGACUUACAUGCUAAGUGCUCGUCUUAUUUGUUUGACUUGGUGUCUAGGUGGGCAUAUUUAGAGGCAUACAUUUUAUUUUAGCCUAAAAUAAUCUUAAUAGUAGUUCAAAGUCUUUUGAACAUUAAGCAAGGAUGUUAG